AGAGUUUGAUCAUGGCUCAGAUUGAACGCUGGCGGCAGGCCUAACACAUGCAAGUCGAACGGUAACAGAAAGCAGCUUGCUGCUUUGCUGACGAGUGGCGGACGGGUGAGUAAUGUCUGGGAAACUGCCCGAUGGAGGGGGAUAACUACUGGAAACGGUAGCUAAUACCGCAUAACGUCGCAAGACCAAAGAGGGGGACCUUCGGGCCUCUUGCCAUCGGAUGUGCCCAGAUGGGAUUAGCUAGUAGGUGGGGUAAAGGCUCACCUAGGCGACGAUCCCUAGCUGGUCUGAGAGGAUGACCAGCCACACUGGAACUGAGACACGGUCCAGACUCCUACGGGAGGCAGCAGUGGGGAAUAUUGCACAAUGGGCGCAAGCCUGAUGCAGCCAUGCCGCGUGUAUGAAGAAGGCCUUCGGGUUGUAAAGUACUUUCAGCGGGGAGGAAGGGAGUAAAGUUAAUACCUUUGCUCAUUGACGUUACCCGCAGAAGAAGCACCGGCUAACUCCGUGCCAGCAGCCGCGGUAAUACGGAGGGUGCAAGCGUUAAUCGGAAUUACUGGGCGUAAAGCGCACGCAGGCGGUUUGUUAAGUCAGAUGUGAAAUCCCCGGGCUCAACCUGGGAACUGCAUCUGAUACUGGCAAGCUUGAGUCUCGUAGAGGGGGGUAGAAUUCCAGGUGUAGCGGUGAAAUGCGUAAAGAUCUGGAGGAAUAC
rnacentral:rRNA from 1 species